AACGAACGCUGGCGGCAUGCCUAACACAUGCAAGUCGACCGAGACCUUCGGGUCUUGUGGCGCACGGGUGCGUAACGCGUGGGAACCUGCCCUUAGGUUCGGAAUAACUCCCCGAAAGGGGUGCUAAUACCGGAUAAUGUCUUCGGACCAAAGAUUUCUCGCCUUUGGAUGGGCCCGCGUUGGUUUAGCUAGUUGGUAGGGUAAAAGCCUACCAAGGCGGCGUUCCAUAGCUGGUCUGUGAGGAUGAUCAGCCACACUGGGACUGGGACACGGCCCAGACGCGAGGGGGGGGGGGGAGGGGGGAAAAAUGGAAAAGGGGCGAAAGCCUGAACCGGCAAGGCCGGGUGGGGGGUGAGGGGUUUGGGUUUGGAAAGCCCUUUUACCGGGGAGGGAAAGAAGGGAACGGGGAAAAAAAGCCCGGCCAAACCCGUG
rnacentral:rRNA from 1 species